rnacentral:rRNA from 1 species
UUCCUACGGGACGCAGCAGUGAGGAAUAUUGGUCAAUGGGCGCGAGCCUGAACCAGCCAAGUAGCGUGAAGGAUGACUGCCCUACGGGUUGUAAACUUCUUUUAUAAAGGAAUAAAGUGAGGCACGUGUGCCUUUUUGUAUGUACUUUAUGAAUAAGGAUCGGCUAACUCCGUGCCAGCAGCCGCGGUAAUACGGAGGAUCCGCGCGGUAUCCGGAUUUAUUGGGUGUAAAGGGAGCGUCGAUGUGGU